GAAUGCUGACAUAAGUAACGAUAAAGCGGGUGAAAAGCCCGCUCGCCGGAAGACCAAGGGUUCCUGUCCAACGUUAAUCGGGGCAGGGUGAGUCGACCCCUAAGGCGAGGCCGAAAGGCGUAGUCGAUGGGAAACAGGUUAAUAUUCCUGUACUUGGUGUUACUGCGAAGGGGGGACGGAGAAGGCUAUGUUGGCCGGGCGACGGUUGUCCCGGUUUAAGCGUGUAGGCUGGUUUUCCAGGCAAAUCCGGAAAACCAAGGCUGAGGCGUGAUGACGAGGCACUACGGUGCUGAAGCGACAAAUGCCCUGCUUCCAGGAAAAGCCUCUAAGCAUCAGGUAACAUCAAAUCGUACCCCAAACCGACACAGGUGGUCAGGUAGAGAAUACCAAGGCGCUUGAGAGAACUCGGGUGAAGGAACUAGGCAAAAUGGUGCCGUAACUUCGGGAGAAGGCACGCUGAUAUGUAGGUGAAGCGACUUGCUCGUGGAGCUGAAAUCAGUCGAAGAUACCAGCUGGCUGCAACUGUUUAUUAAAAACACAGCACUGUGCAAACACGAAAGUGGACGUAUACGGUGUGACGCCUGCCCGGUGCCGGAAGGUUAAUUGAUGGGGUUAGCGGCAACGCGAAGCUCUUGAUCGAAGCCCCGGUAAACGGCGGCCGUAACUAUAACGGUCCUAAGGUAGCGAAAUUCCUUGUCGGGUAAGUUCCGACCUGCACGAAUGGCGUAAUGAUGGCCAGGCUGUCUCCACCCGAGACUCAGUGAAAUUGAACUCGCUGUGAAGAUGCAGUGUACCCGCGGCAAGACGGAAAGACCCCGUGAACCUUUACUAUAGCUUGACACUGAACAUUGAGCCUUGAUGUGUAGGAUAGGUGGGAGGCUUUGAAGUGUGGACGCCAGUCUGCAUGGAGCCGACCUUGAAAUACCACCCUUUAAUGUUUGAUGUUCUAACGUUGGCCCGUAAUCCGGGUUGCGGACAGUGUCUGGUGGGUAGUUUGACUGGGGCGGUCUCCUCCUAAAGAGUAACGGAGGAGCACGAAGGUUGGCUAAUCCUGGUCGGACAUCAGGAGGUUAGUGCAAUGGCAUAAGCCAGCUUGACUGCGAGCGUGACGGCGCGAGCAGGUGCGAAAGCAGGUCAUAGUGAUCCGGUGGUUCUGAAUGGAAGGGCCAUCGCUCAACGGAUAAAAGGUACUCCGGGGAUAACAGGCUGAUACCGCCCAAGAGUUCAUAUCGACGGCGGUGUUUGGCACCUCGAUGUCGGCUCAUCACAUCCUGGGGCUGAAGUAGGUCCCAAGGGUAUGGCUGUUCGCCAUUUAAAGUGGUACGCGAGCUGGGUUUAGAACGUCGUGAGACAGUUCGGUCCCUAUCUGCCGUGGGCGCUGGAGAACUGAGGGGGGCUGCUCCUAGUACGAGAGGACCGGAGUGGACGCAUCACUGGUGUUCGGGUUGUCAUGCCAAUGGCACUGCCCGGUAGCUAAAUGCGGAAGAGAUAAGUGCUGAAAGCAUCUAAGCACGAAACUUGC
rnacentral:rRNA from 1 species